rnacentral:tRNA from 1 species
CGGAGUGUAGCCUAGCGGAUUUCAGGCACUUGUUUUGGGAACAAGUUUACGGAGGUUCGAUUCCUCCCACUCCGA